rnacentral:piRNA from 1 species
UGCAAGUGAGUGCCUGUGAUGGCCCUUGUC